rnacentral:misc_RNA from 1 species
AUUUCGGCUGUCGUCGUUUUCACGUCCGUAAUAGCUGUUCGUAUGCCUAAUAAAACUAUUGGCAAGAUUUCUACACAGUUUCUCGUAUCGUGGCAUUUGAUUGCUGCUUUUAGUUGUCGGGGCAGGCGCUCUACCAUCCCGUUGGUCGCGGGCGGGGUGAUAGGCUGUCGUUCGUAAAUGCCUAAUGCCGAGGAACAGGCAUAAUUCGUUAAAUAAGUUUGAUU